rnacentral:rRNA from 1 species
CACGUAGGGGGCAAGCGUUGUCCGGAUUUAUUGGGCGUAAAGAGCUCGUAGGUGGUUCGGUAAGUCAGGUGUGAAAUCUCCAGGCUCAACCUGGAGACGCCACUUGAUACUGCCGUGACUGGAGUCCGGUAGGGGAGCGUGGAAUUCCUGGUGUAGCGGUGAAAUGCGCAGAUAUCAGGAGGAACACCAGCGGCGAAGGCGGCGCUCUGGGCCGGUACUGACACUGAGGAGCGAAAGCGUGGGUAGCAAACAGG